rnacentral:rRNA from 1 species
AGUGAACGCUGGCGGUAGGCCUAACACAUGCAAGUCGAACGGCAGCACAGUAAGAGCUUGCUCUUACGGGUGGCGAGUGGCGGACGGGUGAGGAAUACAUCGGAAUCUACUUUUUCGUGGGGGAUAACGUAGGGAAACUUACGCUAAUACCGCAUACGACCUACGGGUGAAAGCAGGGGAUCUUCGGACCUUGCGCGAUUGCAUGCGCCGAUGUCGGAUUAGCUAGUUGGCGGGGUAAAGGCCCACCAAGGCGACGAUCCGUAGCUGGUCUGAGGGGAGGAUCAGCCACACUGGAACUGAGACACGGUACAGACACCGACGGGAGGCAGCGGUGGGGAAUAGAGGAAAAUGGGCGCAAUCCUGAACCAGCCAUACAGCGUGGGUGAAGAAGGCCUUCGUGUGGUAAAGCCGUUUUGGUGGGAAAGAAAAGCAGCAGGUGAAUACCCCGCUGUUCGGACGGUACCCAAAGAAUAAGCACCGGCUAACUUCGU